rnacentral:rRNA from 1 species
AGCGGCGGACGGGUGAGUAACACGUAGGCAACCUGCCCCUUGGACUGGGAUAACUACCGGAAACGGUAGCUAAUACCGGAUAAUUCCUCUUAGCUCCUGCUAAGAGGCUGAAAGGCGGAGCAAUCUGUCACCAAGGGAUGGGCCUGCGGCGCAUUAGCUAGUUGGUGGGGUAACGGCUCACCAAGGCGACGAUGCGUAGCCGACCUGAGAGGGUGAACGGCCACACUGGGACUGAGACACGGCCCAGACUCCUACGGGAGGCAGCAGUAGGGAAUCUUCCGCAAUGGGCGAAAGCCUGACGGAGCAACGCCGCGUGAGUGAUGAAGGUUUUCGGAUCGUAAAGCUCUGUUGCCAGGGAAGAACCUCCUUUAGAGUAACUGCUUAAGAAGUGACGGUACCUGAGAAGAAAAGCCCCGGCUAAAUACGUGCCAGCAGCCGCGGUAAUACGUAGGGGGGGAAGCGUUGUCCCGAAUUAUUUGGGGGUAAAAGCGCGCGCAGGCGGCUGUUUAAGUCUGGUGUUAAACCCACUGGGGCUCAACCUGUGGGUCGCACUGGAAACUGGGCAGCUUGAGUGCAGAAAAAGAAAAGUGGAAUUCCACGUGUAGCGGUGAAAUGCGUAGAGAUGUGGAGGAACACCAGUGGGGGAAGGCGACUUUCUGGGCUGUAACUGACGCUGAGGCGCGAAAAGCGUGGGGAGCAA